rnacentral:tRNA from 1 species
GGUUCCGUGGCGCAAUUGGUUAGCGCGUUCGACUGUUAAUCGAGAGGUUGAGAGUUCGACCCUCUCCGGGACCG